CCCCGACGUGGCACUUGCCUCCGACGCCACCGUAGUGCGCGACUGCGCGUGGAGGGAAGGGACCUCGCCGUGCUGGCUCCGCCCGCCAACAUCGCCGCGGCGACAAAUCUCCCACCACCCAACAGACGCGACGCGGCGGCAGUCCAAGCGGCAACAGCCACACCGGCACCGCACUGUAAGAAGGCGUCUCUUCCGCACAGUCCAAGUUUCCGCCUGGCUGGUAACAGCAAUUAGCUCAUUCACCGCAUCAAGCUCGGCUGGUUGUGUACAAAGGGACAUGCUCUUGUGAAGAAGUGCCUCACCUACACCGAGGAGCUCACAAUCAAAGAUAGCACCUUUGAUGGACUGAUGGGUUUCUCCCAGGCUACCUGCGCAUACAUUUGGUUCCUGGCAGCAUGUUUGAUUCUUAGAAAUCCAUGAGGCAGUCUCGAGGGGACCAAACCAGAUUGUCCUGAAUCUAGGAAGCGGCCGCGAUAUUGGGCACCAAUGCCUCGGACCAAUUCCAGGAUCAUCCAAACAAUGGAAUUUGAGGGCAGCAAAUACCAAAGCCAAAUCGAGGCUCCCAAUGUCUACUUCCAAACGGUACCUUAAGCAUUUGUCUAAUGAUCUACAUUGUCUAUGCCACAAAACACAGGUUGAGACUAGAAUGGUUACAAAACUUAGAUUGAGUGAUACUUUAGUUAUUAUCAUUAAAUAUGGGUGAAUGUGCAUAUGCUCAGGAACAAAUAAGUUUAUUAGUGUGGCUGUCCGCAAAAAUAUUUAGCUAGAUAGACAUUUAGGAGUUAGGACCGGACAAAUUUAUUCAUCUACCAUCUGUCAAGGAUGUCAUUGCCUACAUGAGCAUCUGCACUCCUUUUAUUGUCAUGCUAAAUUGUGUGGUUACUGUCUGGCUUGAAUCUAAUAUUCUCCUAUUACUGGUCACUAAAACAAUGAGUUGACUAUAGUGGCUUCAGAAGUUGUUAAUUUGAACUUGAAGUCUGAAUCGCCACACUACAAAACAAGUGGGUGUACAGAGAUUUCACUGACAAUGGCCACAUAUUUUUACAAACUAUUAUGUGGUUAAGGUUUGGAGCUGCUGCUCGAUAAGCUAGAACAAAACAUAAACUUCAGUAAGGUUGUGGCCCUCUGCCCAUCUUAGAGAGCCAGCAACAACAUGGAAGUAUCUAUUGGAAGAUGGGAAGCCAGAUUUAUUGUGUACAACCUACAGCUAUUUUGUUUCUUUGCCCAUGUUGAUUACUUGAGUAAGAGCCUAUGCUGCAUUAUCAUCUCUAUUUGUUCCUGCAUUGUCAACCCCCCCGCCCCCCGCCCUCCUCUUUGUUUGAUUGAAAUUGUACUACCUUGAUCAGCAAUUCAGCAUCCAUUUUAAUAUAGCAUUUGUUGUUUUCAAUCGGCCAGCAUCCUGAUCUCAUGACUACUACUUUUACACAAUGUUUCAUUUUCAACUGGCCAGAAUCUUGAUGUCUUCCUCUUUAUAUCAGUUCGUCUUUCUUUUUCUUGAUCAACCUGCAGUCUGCAGAAGCUGCAUACUUCAAUGCCUGUCCCUACAAUAGCACCAUGACAAAUCGUGCUAGCCACGUACUGUAUGGCCUAUGCAAAUAUUUCAACGUGGCCAAUUGAUGGUUGUGCCAUGGCGCCCUAUCAAUUUGAUCAAUCAGUGGUAGCAACUGUAUGCACUAAUGUACUACAUAAAUAUUUAGAUGCUCAGUUAUUUGACUUCAAAUUGACACUCAGUUGUUUUAUUUUAGCUUGAUGCUCAGUUUAACCAUAUUGUUUUACUGAGGAUUGGGUUGUCCAUUGCACAAUUUUAGCCAUCUACAUGAUGCCUGGAUCAUCCCAUAGAUUGCUCAAAUGCAGCAAGUUAUUGUGAAUGAUUAUUUUCUAAAUGAAGCUCCAUUACUACCUGAAGGGUCAAUUCCUGCAGUAGCAUUAUAUUACAUUUUUUGGAAGAUAUUCUAACAAAGUUUGUUGAUGAUGCACAAAAGUGGUGAAGUUUUGUGAACGUAUUUGGCCACGUCCUCCUAGAGUGCUGCUGGUGCUGGUCAGAAACGUGGACUAUGCCAUAUGAUGGAAACUCCAUUAUAUCUUUGUGCUCAGUGCAGAUAUGUUAUGCUGCUAUGGUUUUCCCAAAUAGAUGGAUCUACAACACCACAUUGCUGUAUUUUUGAAGCUCGUGCUAUAUCAGGCUCAUUGUAUUGGGUUCUCUGUGUCUCAUCUAAAGCAUGGGAGAAGUGGAGAACCUAGAGAAUUCUCUGCAUGAAGUUGGAUCGGAUAAUGUGAAUAAAAGAUGCUUGAUAUAUACAGGCUUCUAAAAUCCAGUACCUUCUACAAUAUAAAGAGAUGAUAUUUGUGGCAAGAUUCUGAAGAAAAGCGUUUCACCCAAGAGUUGAUAUCUGUCAGGCUAUUGCACUUGUUCAUGGAUAGAUUUUACUAAAGUGGGCGGUAUGAUGGAGGUGGUGCUCCUGCAGACGUGAGGAAACUGGACAGAGUACAUCAGCAAGAUAACCCAAAAUAUCUGAUGCAUACAUAGGAUGGUUCGGAGAUUCAGGGUGCCUUAUCUGAGAUAGUUGGCAGGCGUACUGUUCCUCAAGUUUUUGUCCAUGGAAGCAUCUGGGGGGCUCUGAGGAUACUGUUGAGGCUUACGAAAGUGGAAAGUUGGCCAAACUCUUGAACAUUGGAGUCAAGGGCGAUCUUUAAGAAACAUGUUAGCAUCACAGAAUAUGUAACUGAGUAUGAGUAUUGCAGCAUAAUUCAUAACAUCUGAACCUUGCUGAGUCUGGAGGACACCUGCAGGCCGAGGCAAGGUGGUCAGGGCUCUGGUUCGCUCGCAUCGCAUUGCCGCGGGCCCGCGGCUAUAGUAUCUUUCACAUUCAGCCUGCACCAUGACCGAUUUGCUUCCUUCUAAAUUUCUUAUUUCUAUUAAGAUGCAAACCAUCAAAUUAUCUCGCUAGAUUUCAAUUAAAUGAUUGUUUGUUUGUGUUUGCCCAGUUGGAUUAUGAUUUUGAAAUUAAAUGAUUUCAGUUAAA